rnacentral:ncRNA from 1 species
UUUUGUAGAAUGAACCGGCGAGUUACGAUUUGAUGCAAGGUUAAGCAGUAAAUGUGGAGCCGUAGCGAAAGCGAGUCUGAAUAGGGCGUUUAGUAUUUGGUCGUAGACCCGAAACCAGGUGAUCUACCCUUGGUCAGGUUGAAGCUGCCGUAAGAGGUAGUGGAGGACCGAACGCACAUCCGUUGAAAAGGGUGGCGAUGAGGUGUGGAUAGGGGAGAAAUUCCAAUCGAACCCGGAGAUAGCUGGUUCUCCUCGAAAUAGCUUUAGGGCUAGCCUCGGUAUAGAUUCAUGGAGGUAGAGCACUGAAUUUCCUAGGGGGCGUCAAAGCUUACCGAAGAAUAUCAAACUCCGAAUGCCAUCGAACCGAUUACCGGGAGUCAGACUAUACGAGAUAAGUUGGAUAGUCGAAAGGGAAAGAGCCCAGACCUCCAGCUAAGGUCCCAAAGUGCGUGUUAAGUGGAAAAGGAUGUGGGGUUUCAAAGACAACUAGGAUGUUGGCUCAGAAGCAGCCAUCCAUUCAAAGAGUGCGUAAUAGCUCACUGGUCGAGAGGUCCUGCGCCGAAAAUGUACCGGGGCUGAAACACGACACCGAAGCUGAGGAAUCACAUAGUGAUUGGUAGAGGAGCAUUGAAUGCGGGAAGAAGCAGUACCGUAAGGAGCUGUGGACUGCAUGGAAGAGAGAAUGCCGGAAUGAGUAGCGAGAACAAGGUGGGAAUCCUUGUGGCCGAAUAUCUAAGGUUUCCAGGGUAAAGCUGAUCUGCCCUGGGUAAGUCGGGACCUAAGGCGAGGCCGAAAGGCGUAGCCGAUGGACAACAGGUUGAUAUUCCUGUACUGCGAUAUGACAGAACUGUGGGGAC